CUCUACCAGACAGGCGCCGGUUUCCGAGAGGAACUAACAGGGAAUCCGCCCAAGGCCCGCCAGGCCGAGGAAACGGAACUGCCCCCGCAACUGUAGGCGGCGAGCCCGCUCCGAACACGCCACUGGGAUCGCAUCCCGGGAAGGCCGGAGCGGGCGGUGACCCGCCAGUCAGGAGACCUGCCGGCAGGUGCAACGAACU
rnacentral:ncRNA from 2 species